UUUACUGAGAGUUUGAUCCUAGCUCAGGAUGAACGCUGGCGGCGUGGCUAAGGCAUGCAAGUCGAGCGAAUUAUUUUUUGUAGCAAUACAAAAGAUAGUUAGCGGCAAACGGGUGCGUAACACAUUGGUAACCUACCUCCCAGUCGGGCACAACCAGUCGAAAGGCUGGCUAAUUCCACGAUGGUCAUCCAAACGUAAAGUUUGUAUGUAAAGCGCAAAACGCGCUGGGAGAGGGGCCUAUGGCCCAUCAGCUAGUUGGUGAGGUAACGGCUCACCAAGGCUAUGACGGGUAGGGGGUGUGAGAGCACGACCCCCCUCACUGGAACUGAGAUACUGUCCAGACACCUACGGGUGGCUGCAGUCACGAAUAUUCCCCAAUGGACGAAAGUCUGAGGGAGCGACGCCGCGUGCAGGAUGAAGGGCUUCGGCUCGUAAACUGCUUUUGCCAGGGAAAAAAUCUGAUGGUACCUGGAGAAUAAGUGGUUGCUAACUCUGUGCCAGCAGCAGCGGUAAUACAGAGACCACAAGCGUUAUCCGAAUUUAUUGGGCGUAAAGGGUCCGCAGGCGGCAGUGUGCGUCAUUGGUUAAAUCUCGAGGCUCAACUUCGAGACUGCCCGUGAUACGACACAGCUAGAGAUCGGGAGAGGUAAGCGGAAUUGCCGGUGUAGUAGUAAAAUGCGUUAAUAUCGGCAAGAACACCAAAUGCGAAGGCAGCUUACUGGAACGAAUCUGACGC
rnacentral:rRNA from 1 species